rnacentral:rRNA from 1 species
UACGGAGGGGGCUAGCGUUGUUCGGAAUUACUGGGCGUAAAGCGCACGUAGGCGGCUUUGUAAGUUAGAGGUGAAAGCCCCGGGCUCAACCUGGGAAUUGCAUUCGAGACUGCGUAGCUAGGGUGCGGAAGAGGGAAGCGGAAUUUCCGGUGUAGCGGUGAAAUGCGUAGAUAUCGGAAGGAACACCAGUGGCGAAAGCGGCUUCCUGGUCCAGCACCGACGUUCAGGCACGAAAGCGUGGGGAGCAAACAGG